CUUUGUCCUUCCCAAGAUUAAGUAAAGUGGAGCUAAAGUCUCUCUCAAAAUUCAGGAGGUUUUCCAAAAUUAGGAGAGAUUUUUCAAGCUUGAAAACUUUGAUAAUAGAAGAAUGUCCUUGUUUAAAAGAGUUCACAAUCAACCAAGCAAUUUUAGUAGAUUUCUUAGGUCCAACGAAUAACACUUUAUCUGAGUUGGAUGAAUUGAGAUUAGAUGGUUGUCAACCGUUGCUCUACGUAGCCUUCUUUAAGACACCGCCCAAGAAGAUGAAAUUGAAGAAAGUCUUUGUGAGUAAUUGCUAUCAAUUGAAAAUGGUAAUACUGGUGAAGGAAAUACCUAACUCUAUAAAGCUCCUCCACGAAUUAGAUGAAUUGAUUUUGAUUAAUCUUCCUAAUUUAACUCACAUCAUCGACAAAGAAUGUGUUAGGUUAUAUCAAAAUCUACGUACCCUACAAAUAGAAAGAUGUGGGUUUCUUCAUUGGUUGCCAAUUCCUGUAACUUUAACAAAUAUGAAAAUUUUGGAUUGUGAUUCCUUGCAUAAGACCGUGGUCAUCAGAAAAGAAAAGGAAGAAAAAGAAAAAGUCAUUUUUUCUCAAUUAAAGGAAGUUAUUCUUCAAAAUCUAAGAAAUUUAUAUACUGCAUUUCCUUUUGGGUCAGAAUUUCCAUCCUUGGAAAUACUGAAAAUAACAAAUUGUCCUUCUCUAAUGACAUUUGUUGAAGAACACAAUGAUUUGAAAGAGCAUAAAGAACAAGCUGUUUCAACAUGUUUCUUUCCAAAUUCGUUGUCAUUGGAAAAGUUGAAGGUGCUUUAUAUAUAGAUCAACAUAUUAAAGAUCUUUGGCACUAUAGUUUGUCUUCUGAAUCAUUUUGUCAGAUAGAAAAUUUGACUUUAAGCAACAAUAAUAAAUGUUAAGUGUCAUCUCUUCUAGACUGAUCAUAAGAUUCAACAACAUGAAAGAUUUGACUUUAGACAAAUGUGAAUCAUUGAUUACAAUAUUCAUUCUUGAAGAUGAUCAUCUAUGCAAGAAAUGUUUCCUCAACUGAGGAAAAUAGUCAUUGAGUAACCUAAAUAAUUUGAAAUUUAUAUGGAACAAAAACCUAAUGUUCCAUUCUUCUCAAAUUUGGUGUCACUUUUCAUUGUCCAUUGUGAUAGCAUUGAAAGUUUAUUUUCACUUUCUUCCUCCAAAUAUCUUAAGAAACUCAAAUUACUGAGGCGUUAGUUGUAAAGAACUAAAGCAAGUGAUCUCGAGUGAUGAAGAUGAAAAUGAUCUACCAAUUUUCCCCAAAUGAAAUGUUAGUAUUGAAGAAUCUCCAAAGUUGGUGAAUUUCAGUCAUUAUCAUGGAACUCUUGAUUGGCCUAGUUUCAAACUUUAAGGGUUAGCAAUGUUCCAAGUAUGAAAAUAUUUUCAAGAGGCAACAUCAACACACCAUUGUUGAGAUCAUAGAUAUAACAUUUAUUAAGAAGCUUUGGUUUGAAAAUCUAAACGAGACUAUAUCAUUUAUUUACAACAAUCCAGAAUUAAUUAAGUGACUCAAAUAAAAAAAGAGGAACAACUUCUACAACAAGACAACAAUGGAUAAAAGAAUGAACAUUAAUCUCUUGAGAAUCGAAGACAUAGGAUUACUCUUUGUGGCGACCUCUUCAAGAUUAAGCGAUGAAUUUAUCAAUUUA